rnacentral:rRNA from 1 species
UACGAAGGGGGCUAGCGUUGCUCGGAAUCACUGGGCGUAAAGGGCGCGUAGGCGGCCUUGUAAGUUGGGGGGUGAAAGCCCGUGGCUCAACCACGGAAUUGCCUUCGAUACUGCUUGGCUUGAGACCGGAAGAGGUGAGUGGAACUGCGAGUGUAGAGGUGAAAUUCGUAGAUAUUCGCAAGAACACCAGUGGCGAAGGCGGCUUACUGGUCCGGUUCUGACGCUGAGGCGCGAAAGCGUGGGGAGCAAACAGG